rnacentral:rRNA from 1 species
UACGUAGGGCGCAAGCGUUGUCCGGAAUUUAUUGGGCGUAAAGAGCUCGUAGGCGGUCUGUCGCGUCCGUUGUGAAAACUCGAGGCUCAACCUCGGGCUUGCAGUGGAUACGGGCAGACUAGAGUGCGGUAGGGGAGCGUGGAAUUCCUGGUGUAGCGGUGAAAUGCGCAGAUAUCAGGAGGAACACCAGCGGCGAAAGGCGGCGCGUCUGGGGCUGGAACUGACGCUGAGGAGCGAAAGCGUGGGGAGCGAACAGG